AUACGUAGGUGGCGAGCGUUGUCCGGAUUUACUGGGUGUAAAGGGCGUGUAGGCGGAGAUGCAAGUCAGGAGUGAAAUCUAGGGGCUCAACCCCUAAACUGCUUUUGAAACUGUAUCCCUUGAGUAUCGGAGAGGCAGGCGGAAUUCCUAGUGUAGCGGUGAAAUGCGUAGAUAUUAGGAGGAACACCAGUGGCGAAGGCGGCCUGCUGGACGACAACUGACGCUGAGGCGCGAAAGCGUGGGGAGCAAACAGGAUUAGAUACCCUGGUAGUCCACGCUGUAAACGAUGAAUACUAGGUCUGGGGGGACUGACCCCCUCCGUGCCGCAGUUAACACAAUAAGUAUUCCACCUGGGGAGUACGAUCGCAAGAUUGAAACUCAAAUGAAUUGACGGGG
rnacentral:rRNA from 1 species